rnacentral:tRNA from 1 species
AGGCCCGUAGUUAAGUGGCAUAACGGCGGUCUCCAAAACCGCUAUCGGAGGUUCGACUCCUCCCGGGCCUG